ensembl:snoRNA
CUGGAGGAUGAUUAGUUGCACCAAGGGGCCUGCGGUGCUGUGUACUGCGGAGCCUCACAGAGCAAAAAUGGUGACAGAGCCACGUGCACAGGGGCCAGCUGACUCCAU